rnacentral:rRNA from 1 species
GGGUUGUGAGGUUAAGCGACUAAGCGUACACGGUGGAUGCCCUGGCAGUCAGAGGCGAUGAAGGACGUGCUAAUCUGCGAAAAGCGUCGGUAAGGUGAUAUGAACCGUUAUAACCGGCGAUGUCCGAAUGGGGAAACCCAGUGCAAUUCGUUGCACUAUCGUUAACUGAAUACAUAGGUUAACGAGGCGAACCGGGGGAACUGAAACAUCUAAGUACCCCGAGGAAAAGAAAUCAACCGAGAUUCCCCCAGUAGCGGCGAGCGAACGGGGAGCAGCCCAGAGUCUGAAUCAGCUUGUGUGUUAGUGGAACGGUCUGGAAAGUCCGACGGUACAGGGUGAUAGUCCCGUACACCAAAAUGCACAGGCUGUGAACUCGAAGAGUAGGGCGGGACACGUGGUAUCCUGUCUGAAUAUGGGGGGACCAUCCUCCAAGGCUAAAUACUCCUGACUGACCGAUAGUGAACCAGUACCGUGAGGGAAAGGCGAAAAGAACCCCGGCGAGGGGAGUGAAAAAGAACCUGAAACCGUGUACGUACAAGCAGUGGGAGCACCUUCGGGUGUGACUGCGUACCUUUUGUAUAAUGGGUCAGCGACUUAUAUUCUGUAGCAAGGUUAACCGUAUAGGGGAGCCGCAGGGAAACCGAGUCUUAACUGGGCGUUAAGUUGCAGGGUAUAGACCCGAAACCCGGUGAUCUAGCCAUGGGCAGGUUGAAGGUUGGGUAACACUAACUGGAGGACCGAACCGACUAAUGUUGAAAAAUUAGCGGAUGACUUGUGGCUGGGGGUGAAAGGCCAAUCAAACCGGGAGAUAGCUGGUUCUCCCCGAAAGCUAUUUAGGUAGCGCCUCGUGAAUUCAUCUUCGGGGGUAGAGCACUGUUUCGGCUAGGGGGUCAUCCCGACUUACCAACCCGAUGCAAACUACGAAUACCGAAGAAUGUUAUCACGGGAGACACACGGCGGGUGCUAACGUCCGUCGUGAAGAGGGAAACAACCCAGACCGCCAGCUAAGGUCCCAAAGUCAUGGUUAAGUGGGAAACGAUGUGGGAAGGCACAGACAGCCAGGAUGUUGGCUUAGAAGCAGCCAUCAUUUAAAGAAAGCGUAAUAGCUCACUGGUCGAGUCGGCCUGCGCGGAAGAUGUAACGGGGCUAAACCAUGCACCGAAGCUGCGGCAGCGACACUAUGUGUUGUUGGGUAGGGGAGCGUUCUGUAAGCCUGCGAAGGUGUGCUGUGAGGCAUGCUGGAGGUAUCAGAAGUGCGAAUGCUGACAUAAGUAACGAUAAAGCGGGUGAAAAGCCCGCUCGCCGGAAGACCAAGGGUUCCUGUCCAACGUUAAUCGGGGCAGGGUGAGUCGACCCCUAAGGCGAGGCCGAAAGGCGUAGUCGAUGGGAAACAGGUUAAUAUUCCUGUACUUGGUGUUACUGCGAAGGGGGGACGGAGAAGGCUAUGUUAGCCGGGCGACGGUUGUCCCGGUUUAAGCAUGUAGGCUGGUUGUCCAGGCAAAUCCGGAUAAUCAAGGCUGAGGUGUGAUGACGAGGCACUACGGUGCUGAAGUAACAAAUGCCCUGCUUCCAGGAAAAGCCUCUAAGCAUCAGGUAACAUCAAAUCGUACCCCAAACCGACACAGGUGGUCAGGUAGAGAAUACCAAGGCGCUUGAGAGAACUCGGGUGAAGGAACUAGGCAAAAUGGUGCCGUAACUUCGGGAGAAGGCACGCUGGUGUGUAGGUGAAGUCCCUGCGGAUGGAGCUGAGACCAGUCGAAGAUACCAGCUGGCUGCAACUGUUUAUUAAAAACACAGCACUGUGCAAACACGAAAGUGGACGUAUACGGUGUGACGCCUGCCCGGUGCCGGAAGGUUAAUUGAUGGGGUUAUCCGUAAGGAGAAGCUCUUGAUCGAAGCCCCGGUAAACGGCGGCCGUAACUAUAACGGUCCUAAGGUAGCGAAAUUCCUUGUCGGGUAAGUUCCGACCUGCACGAAUGGCGUAAUGAUGGCCAGGCUGUCUCCACCCGAGACUCAGUGAAAUUGAACUCGCUGUGAAGAUGCAGUGUACCCGCGGCAAGACGGAAAGACCCCGUGAACCUUUACUAUAGCUUGACACUGAACAUUGAGCCUUGAUGUGUAGGAUAGGUGGGAGGCUUUGAAGCGUGGACGCCAGUCUGCGUGGAGCCAACCUUGAAAUACCACCCUUUAAUGUUUGAUGUUCUAACGUUGGCCCCUUACCGGGGUUGCGGACAGUGUCUGGUGGGUAGUUUGACUGGGGCGGUCUCCUCCCAAAGCGUAACGGAGGAGCACGAAGGUUAGCUAAUCCUGGUCGGACAUCAGGAGGUUAGUGCAAUGGCAUAAGCUAGCUUGACUGCGAGCGUGACGGCGCGAGCAGGUGCGAAAGCAGGUCAUAGUGAUCCGGUGGUUCUGAAUGGAAGGGCCAUCGCUCAACGGAUAAAAGGUACUCCGGGGAUAACAGGCUGAUACCGCCCAAGAGUUCAUAUCGACGGCGGUGUUUGGCACCUCGAUGUCGGCUCAUCACAUCCUGGGGCUGAAGUAGGUCCCAAGGGUAUGGCUGUUCGCCAUUUAAAGUGGUACGCGAGCUGGGUUUAGAACGUCGUGAGACAGUUCGGUCCCUAUCUGCCGUGGGCGCUGGAGAAUUGAGGGGGGCUGCUCCUAGUACGAGAGGACCGGAGUGGACGCAUCACUGGUGUUCGGGUUGUCAUGCCAAUGGCACUGCCCGGUAGCUAAAUGCGGAAGAGAUAAGUGCUGAAAGCAUCUAAGCACGAAACUUGCCCCGAGAUGAGUUCUCCCUGAGACUAUAAGUCUCCUGAAGGAACGUUAAAGACGAUGACGUUGAUAGGCCGGGUGUGUAAGCGCAGCGAUGCGUUGAGCUAACCGGUACUAAUGAACCGUGAGGCUUAACCUUACAACGCCGAAG